rnacentral:rRNA from 1 species
GACGAACGCUGGCGGCGUGCCUAAUACAUGCAAGUCGAACGCUUCUUUUUCCACCGGAGCUUGCUCCACCGGAAAAAGAGGAGUGGCGAACGGGUGAGUAACACGUGGGUAACCUGCCCAUCAGAAGGGGAUAACACUUGGAAACAGGUGCUAAUACCGCAUAAUAUCUUCUUCCGCAUGGAAGAAGAUUGAAAGACGGCUCUGCUGUCACUUAUAGAUGACCUUGCGGUGCAUUAGUUAGUUGGUGGGGUAAUGGCCUACCAAGACAAUGAUGCAUAGCCGACCUGAGAGGGUGAUCGGCCACAUUGGGACUGAGACACGGCCCAAACUCCUACGGGAGGCAGCAGUAGGGAAUCUUCCGCAAUGGGCGAAAGCCUGACGGAGCAAUGCCGCGUGAGUGAAGAAGGCCUUCGGGUCGUAAAACUCUGUUAUAAGAGAAGAACAAAUUGUAGAGUAACUGCUACAGUCUUGACGGUAUCUUAUCAGAAAGCCACGGCUAACUACGUGCCAGCCGCCGCCGUAA